ACUAUCGUUAACUGAAUACAUAGGUUAACGAGGCGAACCGGGGGAACUGAAACAUCUAAGUACCCCGAGGAAAAGAAAUCAACCGAGAUUCCCCCAGUAGCGGCGAGCGAACGGGGAGCAGCCCAGAGUCUGAAUCAGCUUGUGUGUUAGUGGAACGGUCUGGAAAGUCCGACGGUACAGGGUGAUAGUCCCGUACACCAAAAUGCACAGGCUGUGAACUCGAAGAGUAGGGCGGGACACGUGGUAUCCUGUCUGAAUAUGGGGGGACCAUCCUCCAAGGCUAAAUACUCCUGACUGACCGAUAGUGAACCAGUACCGUGAGGGAAAGGCGAAAAGAACCCCGGCGAGGGGAGUGAAAAAGAACCUGAAACCGUGUACGUACAAGCAGUGGGAGCACCUUCGGGUGUGACUGCGUACCUUUUGUAUAAUGGGUCAGCGACUUAUAUUCUGUAGCAAGGUUAACCGUAUAGGGGAGCCGCAGGGAAACCGAGUCUUAACUGGGCGUUAAGUUGCAGGGUAUAGACCCGAAACCCGGUGAUCUAGCCAUGGGCAGGUUGAAGGUUGGGUAACACUAACUGGAGGACCGAACCGACUAAUGUUGAAAAAUUAGCGGAUGACUUGUGGCUGGGGGUGAAAGGCCAAUCAAACCGGGAGAUAGCUGGUUCUCCCCGAAAGCUAUUUAGGUAGCGCCUCGUGAAUUCAUCUUCGGGGGUAGAGCACUGUUUCGGCUAGGGGGUCAUCCCGACUUACCAACCCGAUGCAAACUACGAAUACCGAAGAAUGUUAUCACGGGAGACACACGGCGGGUGCUAACGUCCGUCGUGAAGAGGGAAACAACCCAGACCGCCAGCUAAGGUCCCAAAGUCAUGGUUAAGUGGGAAACGAUGUGGGAAGGCACAGACAGCCAGGAUGUUGGCUUAGAAGCAGCCAUCAUUUAAAGAAAGCGUAAUAGCUCACUGGUCGAGUCGGCCUGCGCGGAAGAUGUAACGGGGCUAAACCAUGCACCGAAGCUGCGGCAGCGACACUAUGUGUUGUUGGGUAGGGGAGCGUUCUGUAAGCCUGCGAAGGUGNUGCUGGAGGUAUCAGAAGUGCGAAUGCUGACAUAAGUAACGAUAAAGCGGGUGAAAAGCCCGCUCGCCGGAAGACCAAGGGUUCCUGUCCAACGUUAAUCGGGGCAGGGUGAGUCGACCCCUAAGGCGAGGCCGAAAGGCGUAGUCGAUGGGAAACAGGUUAAUAUUCCUGUACUUGGUGUUACUGCGAAGGGGGGACGGAGAAGGCUAUGUUAGCCGGGCGACGGUUGUCCCGGUUUAAGCAUGUAGGCUGGUUGUCCAGGCAAAUCCGGAUAAUCAAGGCUGAGGUGUGAUGACGAGGCACUACGGUGCUGAAGUAACAAAUGCCCUGCUUCCAGGAAAAGCCUCUAAGCAUCAGGUAACAUCAAAUCGUACCCCAAACCGACACAGGUGGUCAGGUAGAGAAUACCAAGGCGCUUGAGAGAACUCGGGUGAAGGAACUAGGCAAAAUGGUGCCGUAACUUCGGGAGAAGGCACGCUGGUGUGUAGGUGAAGUCCCUGCGGAUGGAGCUGAGACCAGUCGAAGAUACCAGCUGGCUGCAACUGUUUAUUAAAAACACAGCACUGUGCAAACACGAAAGUGGACGUAUACGGUGUGACGCCUGCCCGGUGCCGGAAGGUUAAUUGAUGGGGUUAUCCGUAAGGAGAAGCUCUUGAUCGAAGCCCCGGUAAACGGCGGCCGUAACUAUAACGGUCCUAAGGUAGCGAAAUUCCUUGUCGGGUAAGUUCCGACCUGCACGAAUGGCGUAAUGAUGGCCAGGCUGUCUCCACCCGAGACUCAGUGAAAUUGAACUCGCUGUGAAGAUGCAGUGUACCCGCGGCAAGACGGAAAGACCCCGUGAACCUUUACUAUAGCUUGACACUGAACAUUGAGCCUUGAUGUGUAGGAUAGGUGGGAGGCUUUGAAGCGUGGACGCCAGUCUGCGUGGAGCCAACCUUGAAAUACCACCCUUUAAUGUUUGAUGUUCUAACGUUGGCCCCUUACCGGGGUUGCGGACAGUGUCUGGUGGGUAGUUUGACUGGGGCGGUCUCCUCCCAAAGCGUAACGGAGGAGCACGAAGGUUAGCUAAUCCUGGUCGGACAUCAGGAGGUUAGUGCAAUGGCAUAAGCUAGCUUGACUGCGAGCGUGACGGCGCGAGCAGGUGCGAAAGCAGGUCAUAGUGAUCCGGUGGUUCUGAAUGGAAGGGCCAUCGCUCAACGGAUAAAAGGUACUCCGGGGAUAACAGGCUGAUACCGCCCAAGAGUUCAUAUCGACGGCGGUGUUUGGCACCUCGAUGUCGGCUCAUCACAUCCUGGGGCUGAAGUAGGUCCCAAGGGUAUGGCUGUUCGCCAUUUAAAGUGGUACGCGAGCUGGGUUUAGAACGUCGUGAGACAGUUCGGUCCCUAUCUGCCGUGGGCGCUGGAGAAUUGAGGGGGGCUGCUCCUAGUACGAGAGGACCGGAGUGGACGCAUCACUGGUGUUCGGGUUGUCAUGCCAAUGGCACUGCCCGGUAGCUAAAUGCGGAAGAGAUAAGUGCUGAAAGCAUCUAAGCACGAAACUUGCCCCGAGAUGAGUUCUCCCUGAGACUUUAAGUCUCCUGAAGGAACGUUGAAGACGACGACGUUGAUAGGCCGGGUGUGUAAGCGCAGCGAUGCGUUGAGCUAACCGGUACUAAUGAACCGUGAGGCUUAACC
rnacentral:rRNA from 1 species